rnacentral:rRNA from 1 species
AUUGAACGCUGGCGGCAGGCCUAACACAUGCAAGUCGAGCGGAUGAAGGGAGCUUGCUCCUGGAUUCAGCGGCGGACGGGUGAGUAAUGCCUAGGAAUCUGCCUGGUAGUGGGGGAUAACGUCCGGAAGCGGGCGCUAAUACCGCAUACGUCCUGAGGGAGAAAGUGGGGGAUCUUCGGACCUCACGCUAUCAGAUGAGCCUAGGUCGGAUUAGCUAGUUGGUGGGGUAAAGGCCUACCAAGGCGACGAUCCGUAACUGGUCUGAGAGGAUGAUCAGUCACACUGGAACUGAGACACGGUCUAGACUCCUACGGGAGGCAGCAGUGGGGAAUAUUGGACAAUGGGCGAAAGCCUGAUCCAGCCAUGCCGCGUGUGUGAAGAAGGUCUUCGGAUUGUAAAGCACUUUAAGUUGGGAGGAAGGGCAGUAAGUUAAUACCUUGCUGUUUUGACGUUACCAACAGAAUAAGCACCGGCUAACUUCGUG